ensembl:lncRNA
GUUUCAUAUGUGGACGGAUCACACGCUCUCAACUCUUGGACUGUGUACUUUAUCUAAAGAAUGUAAUAAGAAAAUUAUUUGGGGUUUUAAGAUUUAUUUCCAAAACCUGUAGAAAACAAGAUAUAACGUGUGUCUCUAUCAGGCUGCUGUCUCUGGGAAUUAUGUCUCGACAAAAGCAGAAUUUGCUGUGGCUGAUGAUCAUCUGUUGUGCUACGUGCCAGAUAAGUAUGUUGCUUUAAAAAAAUUAAUAAAAUAAAAAUAAAAUAAAAACAUUUAAAGAUAUACCAAUGAAAAUCUUGUUUGGUGAACAUUAGAAAACAAAUUAGAAUGCAAACAAAAAAAUAACAUGAAUAAAAAAAAGAUUAUGGUUGUGGGAAUCUAAAUUUUUACAUCUAAUAUAGAGCUUUAUAACAUGUCAUACAUUGUUACAUGAUGCCUUUAAAUGUUGUCUUUAUUUGUGCAGCAAGUUCAGAAAACUCGACAGAUCAGUGUUUCUGGAACAGCAGUAGCUCAACACAAGGUAGAUGUGAAAUAUAUGGCUAACUUGACUGUGUGAAAGCAUAUUUAUUAUCUGUGACGACUGAAACUCACUGAGUUCAUUUCUGUUUUUCACUUAGUUAUUGAAUGGACCUGUCCAUCAGUUGAUGAAAAAAUGAAUCAGGAAGAUGAGGAUGAAGGUGUUGAACCCUCAGAAGCAUCGUAAGUGUGCGAUUACCUGUGACUUCAGGUAACUCUACUACAGAGAACCAAGUGAUUAAAUACAUUUUUUGCAGAGACGCCUUGGACGAACUGGAGUCUGACAUGGAAGAAAUGGAAAAUAACAAUAUAAGCAAUGCAUCAUAUCAUCAAAUCAGAACACGAUAAACGUAAGGCCUGAGAAAGAUUACAGCAUGUCUAAGUUAGGAUUCUUUAUUAAUCAAGGUACAUUUUCUUUUCACAGGAUGUUGACUGUCAAAGUAUCCCAAAUACAAACUUUUCAUGGGCUGUAAAGAUUCCCAAGGAAGCAGUGUAUAAAUCACGACGGGAAAACAAUGGAUGUGCGUUUGUUGCAGUUCUACGGUUCAUAAAUAUGAGAAACAAGAAUCAAACUGCAAACCGGACUGUUUUGAACAAUGAGGUUUAUGGAAUAGCGAUGAAGGCCAAUAUCUCCAACCUUACUGAUAAUAUUGAAAUGUUCAUUACACAGAAAGAUCUGGUAAUGAAGGUUUUGUUGCAGAACUAAUUUUGUUAUGAAUGAACAGACAAUUUCAAAAGAAACGUAAAAAUCAAACAUGUUCUUACAGGUCAGUAAGCCAUCCUGCUAUUCUUGGGAUGGAAACGGUAAAUUAAUUUCUGACUGUAUUGAUCAGUUCCUGUCAAUAAACCCAGUUUAUUUCAUAUAAUUAAAAUGAG